rnacentral:rRNA from 1 species
CAGAGGGGGCUAGCGUUGUUCGGAAUUACUGGGCGUAAAGGGCGCGUAGGUGGCCUGCUAAGUCGAACGUGAAAUCCCCGGGCUCAACCCGGGAACUGCGUCCGAGACUGGCAGGCUGGAAUCCGGGAGAGGGAUGUGGAAUUCCAGGUGUAGCGGUGAAAUGCGUAGAUAUCUGGAGGAACACCGGUGGCGAAGGCGGCAUCCUGGACCGGUAUUGACGCUGAGGCGCGAAAGCCAGGGGAGCAAACGGGAUUAGAUACCCCGGUAGUCCUGGCCCUAAACGAUGAAUGCUUGGUGUGGCGGGUAUCGAUCCCUGCCGUGCCGAAGCUAACGCAUUAAGCAUUCCGCCUGGGGAGUACGGUCGCAAGGCUG